AUUGGUUUGAGGUUUAAGCUUCACUGUUUACCAUUGUUAAACAAGGUUCUAUUAAUCAAUCAAAAUUUGCACUAGUUCAUUAAAUAACAGCGAUUGUGAAACUUAAUAGAUUGUAAAAUUGCUCAAUAAACACCGGGGUUAUCGGAAAUUCUGCUAGGUUGUCGCAGCUGUAAAUUUAUGAGUUUUAGUUUUUGUCAACAAUUUGUCAUUAUUUAAGACCCAAACUGAUUGGACUGUGUUUACACCUGUUGACUAAGUGAGCUUUUACCCGACGGUGAAUAAAAGCUAACGGAGUGAACAAAGAGCGAUUCAAGGUGUAUUUGUGCUUCAAAUGAAUGGAUGAAGGCCUGUUCUUUCAAGUUGUUCAGCAGACGAGUGAAACUUCCUGCAGUUGAGAGAGGAAGGGAAACGCGAAGAUUAAAUGAAGAGCUUAGAUGAGGUUCAAGAAGACUAGUCGAGAUAACUUGACCUUUGAAAUCAAAACUGCCAAAUGAAAUGAACAGUACUCCACCCUAUGUCAACUGAGUCUGUAAAUGCUUAGGUUGUAAAUGCUUUAAAAAUAAUAUGCCAAAUGCCUAAAAUAUGAUUUUGCUUCAGAAAACAGCCGCAAUUUAGAUGAGCAUGAAAAAUUGACAAAUGAUGUUUUCCUCUCCUAAAUGUUGAAAAGCAAUCUAUGGCUCAGAUGAUGUGGUUUCUGCGGAAAAAAUUACAAUUUUCGAUAGUUUCUGACCGACUUUUGUCCGGUAUUGAAAAAAAAAUUUAGCUUUUACGAAAA